CCUUGAAUGGAUGGUAAAUUCUUUUCUGCACACUCUGGAAUAAAUACUACCUAAAACAAUUAUGUGCGACAUACAGGAAUUCAGAAGAAAGGUUGAAGCGUUCUUUGUGAUUGAAAUAAACCAUGGUGUUAAAAGUAUAUAGGUGGUCCAACUGGCCUCCUCAAAUUGAUUAUUUUGGAAGACUGCCACCAGAGUGUCUGAAAGUCAAGUACCAUUGACUAUUUCAUUUAGGCCGAUUUGUAUUUGAUACGUAAACAAAAAUUCGAUAAAUUACACGGAAAACAAUGUUGCUGUUAGUACAAACACAAAAAACGUUGGGAGAACGUCAGCACUUAAACUCGCAAAAUCUCAGUCGGAUAUUAAUAUUUAUUAUUUAAAUUUUUACACUAUAAUCUUUGACAUAUUCUGCGACUUGUAGAGCUAUUCCGAAACUUUACAAUAAAAUAAUGAAUUUUUAAUAUUUUGUCGAGUUUAGUGAAUUUUUUUUCAAACGUUAAAGUUAUGUUACGAAUUUUCGAGUUAAAAAUUUUCAUUAAUGUUAUAUUAUAGUUGAAUAUUUGAAGAAGUUUUCUGGAAAGUUUUAAAUCUUUAAAUGUAACAGUUAAAAAAUUAUGGCAAUUUAUAUGCAGCGUUAGCGAAACGUUCGACGCGACAUUGCAACAUGUAUAUAAAUUAUCAUAACUUUUUGCUAUUGAAUUUAUUUUGUUUUAGACGAAACUUUUUUUGUUUACGCUUACCAAAUGUAUUACUAGUAUAAAAAAGAACAUUUAAAAAACUGUCCCUCCCAAAACAUUUUUCUCACUACAUCCUUGGCUGUAGAAAUAAAUAAGUAUGUAUACUUUUAAUGCUACAAUAGUUUACAUAUUGCCGAAAAAUUACAAUUUUUUUCUGAAAAUGUCAUCUCUAUUGAUAAUCGAACUCGGAUGAUAACAUUAAAAUCACAAAUAAAGUAUUUGUUUUAAAUAAAAAUCAAGUAUUAAGUUUUAAA